rnacentral:rRNA from 1 species
UUAAAGUAGUAAGGGCGCAGGGUGGAUGCCUUGGCACUAAGAGCCGAUGAAAGACGUGAUAAGCUGCGAAAAGCUUCGGGGAGGAGCACAUAUCCAAUGAUCCGGAGAUAUCUGAAUGGGGAAACCCGGCAGAGGAAACCUCUGUCAGCGUGCAGUGAAUACAUAGCUGUACGUGGGGAACCCGGGGAACUGAAACAUCUAAGUACCCGGAGGAAGAGAAAGAAAAUUUAUCGAUUUCCAAAGUAGCGGCGAGCGAAAUGGAAAGAGCCCAAACCGUGAUGCGUGCAUCGCGGGGUUCGGACUGCGUUGUGGCAGACGUAAGAUAGGAGAACGGACUGGGAAGUCCGGCCGGAGAGAGUGAAAGCCUCGUAUCCGAAAUCCCAAGUCGCCUAGCAGGAUCCAGAGUAGGACGAGACACGAGAAACCUUGUCUGAACGAGCGGGGACCACCCCGUAAGGCUAAAUACUUCUUAGUGACCGAUAGCGCAUAGUACUGUGAAGGAAAGGUGAAAAGUACCCCGGGAGGGGAGUGAAAGAGAACCUGAAACCCUGUGUCUACAAGCUGUGGGACCUCUUUAUAUGAGGGACUGCGUACUUUUUGUAGAACGGUCCGGCGAGUUGUGCGUACUGGCGAGGUUAAGGACUUAAGGUCUGGAGCCGAAGUGAAAGCAAGCGUUAAUAGCGCGUCAAGUCAGUGAGUGCAGACCCGAAACCGGGUGACCUAUCCAUGUCCAGGUUGAAGCUUCCGUAAGAGGAAGUGGAGGACCGAACCCACAUCCGUUGAAAAGGGUGGGGAUGAGGUGUGGAUAGCGGAGAAAUUCCAAUCGAACCCGGAGAUAGCUGGUUCUCCUCGAAAUAGCUUUAGGGCUAGCCUCAUGAGAGUCUUAUGGAGGUAGAGCACUGAAUUGCCUAGGGGGCGUCAAAGCUUACCAAAGCAUAUCAAACUCCGAAUGCCAUCAAGAUGAUUCAUGGGAGUCAGACCAUACGAGAUAAGUUGGAUGGUCAAAAGGGAAAGAGCCCAGACCUACAGCUAAGGUCCCAAAGUACGUGUUAAGUGGAAAAGGAUGUGGGGAUUCUAAGACAACUAGGACGUUGGCUUAGAAGCAGCCAUUCAUUGAAAGAGUGCGUAAUAGCUCACUAGUCGAGAGUCCCUGCGCCGAAAAUGUCCGGGGCUGAAACACGACACCGAAGCUUAGGAAUGUGUAAACAUUGGUAGAGGAGCAUUGCUAGCGGGAUGAAGCCAUACCGUAAGGAGUGGUGGACUGCUAGGAAGAGAGAAUGCCGGAAUGAGUAGCGAGAUGAAGGUGAGAAUCCUUCAGGCCGAAUAUCUAAGGUUUCCAGAGUAAAGCUGAUCUGCUCUGGGUAAGUCGGGGCCUAAGGCGAGGUCGAAAGACGUAGUCGAUGGAUAACAGGUUGAAAUUCCUGUACCGCAUAUAAACAGAACUGUGGGGACACAGACAGGGAAUGGAAUCCGGGAGUGGAGAUCCCGGUGCAAGCGAGGUAGGAGUGCUGUUGGCAAAUCCGCAGCACGAUCUGAAGACGUGACGCGUACCGAACAUAAGUAGGGAAGUCCAGGCCCCUGGCUGUCAAGAAAAGCCGCUAUCGUUUUAUAUGUGCCCGUACCGCAAACCGACACAGGUGGAUGAGGAGAGAAUCCUAAGGCCGACGGGAGAAGUAUUGUUAAGGAACUCGGCAAAAUGACUCCGUAACUUCGGGAGAAGGAGUGCCAUGUAAAAGUGGCCGCAGAGAAUUGGCCCAAGCAACUGUUUAGCAAAAACACAGGUCUAUGCAAAACCGAAAGGUGAGGUAUAUGGGCUGACGCCUGCCCGGUGCUGGAAGGUUAAGGGGAGAGGUUAGCGCAAGCGAAGCUUUGAACUUAAGCCCCAGUAAACGGCGGCCGUAACUAUAACGGUCCUAAGGUAGCGAAAUUCCUUGUCGGGUAAGUUCCGACCCGCACGAAAGGCGUAAUGAUUUGGGCACUGUCUCAACAAUGCACCCGGUGAAAUUGAAAUACCAGUGAAGAUGCUGGUUACCUGCGCCAGGACGGAAAGACCCCAUGGAGCUUUACUCCAGUUUGAUACUGGGAUUCGGCAUGGUAUGUACAGGAUAGGUGGGAGACUGAGAAGGUAUGACGUCAGUUGUACCGGAGUCGCUGUUGGGAUACCACCCUUACCAUGUUGGAUUUCUAACCUGUGGCCGUAAGCCGGUCAGGGGACAAUGUCAGGCGGGGAGUUUGACUGGGGCGGUCGCCUCCGAAAGGGUAUCGGAGGCGCUCAAAGGU